rnacentral:rRNA from 1 species
AGCUACCAUGCAGUCGAGCGGAUGAGGGAGCUUGCUCCCGGAUUCAGCGGCGGACGGGUGAGUAAUGCCUAGGAAUCUGCCUGGUAGUGGGGGAUAACGUCCGGAAACGGGCGCUAAUACCGCAUACGUCCUGAGGGAGAAAGUGGGGGAUCUUCGGACCUCACGCUAUCAGAUGAGCCUAGGUCGGAUUAGCUAGUUGGUGGGGUAAAGGCCUACCAAGGCGACGAUCCGUAACUGGUCUGAGAGGAUGAUCAGUCACACUGGAACUGAGACACGGUCCAGACUCCUACGGGAGGCAGCAGUGGGGAAUAUUGGACAAUGGGCGAAAGCCUGAUCCAGCCAUGCCGCGUGUGUGAAGAAGGUCUUCGGAUUGUAAAGCACUUUAAGUUGGGAGGAAGGGCAGUAAGUUAAUACCUUGCUGUUUUGACGUUACCAACAGAAUAAGCACCGGCUAACUUCGUGCCAGCAGCCGCGGUAAUACGAAGGGUGCAAGCGUUAAUCGGAAUUACUGGGCGUAAAGCGCGCGUAGGUGGUUCAGCAAGUUGGAUGUGAAAUCCCCGGGCUCAACCUGGGAACUGCAUCCAAAACUACUGAGCUAGAGUACGGUAGAGGGUGGUGGAAUUUCCUGUGUAGCGGUGAAAUGCGUAGAUAUAGGAAGGAACACCAGUGGCGAAGGCGACCACCUGGACUGAUACUGACACUGAGGUGCGAAAGCGUGGGGAGCAAACAGGAUUAGAUACCCUGGUAGUCCACGCCGUAAACGAUGUCGACUAGCCGUUGGGAUCCUUGAGAUCUUAGUGGCGCAGCUAACGCGAUAAGUCGACCGCCUGGGGAGUACGGCCGCAAGGUUAAAACUCAAAUGAAUU